CAGCCCCCACCUGGACCGCCCAGCCUCUUUGGGAUGGCUGCACUGACCAGGCAGCUGCCACCCUCAUCCUCCCUUGCUCCAGGGGUGAAGCCCUGGAUGCACCCUGAUGCGCUGUCCCCACACAUUCGGAUACCUGAGGCCCCUUUUCUGAGGCUUGCAUCGUGUUCAAGCUCCCCCAUGGCCAACAGGCUCCUGGGACACAUCCAGACCCAAGGCACCGCCCCAGGAGAACCACUUGACCCCACGCAGAAGGAACUUGUGUGGCUUUUUCCCUCCAGCCAGGAAAAACCACACACUGCAGCUCAGCCAGAUCCGCACUCCCAUGCUGCCGUCCACAUGUGACAAACAGCCCAUGCCAGCUGAGCAUAUAAACACACUUGAUAUAGUUAUUGUGGGCGGAAACAUGACAAACAGGUGGUGCGAGCAAUGAUUUAUGAGUCAUUAUUAUUAAUGUUUGUGCACUUGAUCUAAAAUCUACCAAAGUCAAGGGGCCGUUGGUGGGACUUGGCAGCCAGAGGGGGCACCACAGAAGUCAGUCUCCUCUUGACCCCUGCUGGUCCUCCCUCUCCCCUUGGAGGGCGUUAAUCCCCAUAACCCACUUGCAGUGUGAAAGCCAGGUCAUUACUGAUGGCCAACAAAAAUCCCCUCUACCAGCAGAGCAGAUCCCAGGACAGGAGAGCAGGAAAGGUAGACCCACUGCUGGGAGCAGCUUGGGGUGCUUUGUGGGCAUCCCCACAGAGAGCCGGUGAAAUCCAGGCUGUCAGCACUGCGGAAACACCUCGCCCUCAGCUCCUCCAUGACUUCCAGGAUCAUGCAGCACAUUGCCUGUGAGUAAUCCCCCAGCGAUGCCGCUUGCCCGGAGGCGGAGGGUGCCUUCGCCAGCCUGCUUCGCACACCCAGGUGCUCCAAAGUUCAAGCUCCCACCCUGAGUAGGGCUGGGUUUUGCGAGAAUAGCAGCCUGGCAAGGACGAGCUGCCCCAUCCGCACUGGGGACCUUCUCUCCCCGCAGGGCUGGGCCUACCCCGGGGCUUGCUCUGCCCCAUGCUGGCUCUGCUGAUCCUGCCCAGCACAGACGCACCCAGCAGUGAGUCACAGCAGCCCCCGUGCUAUUCCCAGCACCACGCUGCCCCACUGGCAGCGCCCGGGGCCAGCCCCGCAGCAUGGUUGACACCUCCGAAGCCGCAUCAGUACCCCAAAUCCCCAGCAAGCAGAUUAAGCAGUGGGUGAUUAGGACCAGAUACAGAUUAUCUCAGCUUGAGAACAUCACCGUGGCCAGAGGGACCCUUGUAGAGAAAUAAGAUCCCCUUUUGAACCAGCUCUUUUGGGAAGGCAGGAUUUUUUAUUAUUAUUUUUUUUUUUUUUCGCCAAAGCAGCCUUUUUUUUUUUUUUUCCAGCUUUUAGGUUGGAUUUUAGGAUACGUUUCUUUACUGAAAAGGUUGUGCAGCCUUGGAGUAGCUGCCACCAUCCCUAGAGGUCUUCAAGAAACAGGUAGAUGCAGAACUUAGGAGCAUGGUUUAGUGGUGGACUUGUCAGUACUAGGUUAAAGGUUGGACUAGAUGAUCUUAGAGGUCUUUCCCAACCUGAAUGAUCUGUGAUUCUAUGAACAACCCCCAGGACAUGCAGAAUUAUUCAAGUGCAUGUGGGAGUGUAGCAGCAGCACCACCAGCAUCACUCCCUGGAGCGUAUCAACCCCACCACACACUCAGCUGCCUGGUGGGUGUUAGCUAUUAACAGGUCAGGGGCCAAAUUUCAGCACUCUACCUCAUUAAUUAAUAACUCCGGUGUCAUGGGCCAGUUAUUACCUGAAAAUAUUAAUAUUAAUAACCACUAAAGGCUUUGGGCCAUCCGGCCAUUAGUCUUCAGCAAGGAGCGCGGCUGCUCCGCACGGUCUCUCCGGGUAAGGAGAGGUUUGCUCCUGGUGGCAGCGCAGCGUCUCCUGCCUUGCCAGCCCAGCACCGACAGCAGGUCAGUGGCAUGCACAGCACCCAGGCAUGCUAGGGGGCAAGACGUGUGUGCAGGGCCCCCGGGGUGCCUGGCCUGAAGCUGCAUCACACUGCACACACCUUGCAGCGGUGGUGCCAAGAGCACAGGCACCUUGCGCAACAGCAGCAGGCUG